rnacentral:rRNA from 1 species
CCUACGGGGGGCAGCAGUGAGGAAUAUUGGUCAAUGGACGAGAGUCUGAACCAGCCAAGUAGCGUGAAGGAUGAAUGCCCUAUGGGUUGUAAACUUCUUUUAUAUGGGAAUAAAGUGUUCCACGUGUGGGUUUUUGUAUGUACCAUAUGAAUAAGGAUCGGCUAACUCCGUGCCAGCAGCCGCGGUAAUACGGAGGGUCCGAGCGUUAUCCGGAUUUAUUGGGUUUAAAGGGAGCGUAGGUGGAUUGUUAAGUCAGUUGUGAAAGUUUGCGGCUCAACCGUAAAAUUGCAGUUGAAACUGGCAGGCUUGAGUACAGUAGAGGUGGGCGGAAUUCGUGGUGUAGCGGUGAAAUGCGUAGAUAUCACGAAGAACUCCGAUUGCGAAGGCAGCCCACUGGACGGAAACUGACACUGAGGCUCGAAAGUGUGGGUAUCAAACAGGAUUAGAUACCCUUGUAGUC